GCUUGCUCCUUUGAUUCAGCGGCGGACGGGUGAUUUUUUGCCUAGGAAUCUGCCUGGUAGUGGGGGACAACGUUUCGAAAGGAACGCUAAUACCGCAUACGUCCUACGGGAGAAAGCAGGGGACCUUCGGGCCUUGCGCUAUCAGAUGAGCCUAGGUCGGAUUAGCUAGUAGGUGAGGUAAUGGCUCACCUAGGCGACGAUCCGUAACUGGUCUGAGAGGAUGAUCAGUCACACUGGAACUGAGACACGGUCCAGACUCCUACGGGAGGCAGCAGUGGGGAAUAUUGGACAAUGGGCGAAAGCCUGAUCCAGCCAUGCCGCGUGUGUGAAGAAGGUCUUCGGAUUGUAAAGCACUUUAAGUUGGGAGGAAGGGUUGUACGCUAAUACCGUGCAAUUUUGACGUUACCCACAGAAUAAGCACCGGCUAACUCUGUGCCAGCAGCCGCGGUAAUACAGAGGGUGCAAGCGUUUAAUCGGAAUUACUGGGCGUAAAGCGCGCGUAGGUGGUUCGUUAAGUUGGAUGUGAAAGCCCCGGGCUCAACCUGGGAAACUGCAUCCCAAACUGGCGAGCUAGAGUAUGGUAGAGGGUGGUGGAAUUUCCCUGUGUAACGGUGAAAUGCGUA
rnacentral:rRNA from 1 species